CCCCGGGCUCAACCUGGGAAUUGCGUUUGAUACUGGUAGACUUGAGUUCGGGAGAGGUGAGUGGAAUUCCCAGUGUAGAGGUGAAAUUCGUAGAUAUUGGGAAGAACACCGGUGGCGAAGGCGGCUCACUGGACCGAUACUGACGCUGAGGCGCGAAAGCGUGGGGAGCAAACAGGAUUAGAUACCCUGGUAGUCCACGCCGU
rnacentral:rRNA from 1 species